GUCUUACUUCAAUUCUAACAACUGCAAAUAGUGGAAAUGGCGCAUAAGCUAAGAAGUGUAAGUAUUGUUAAAUUUGUGGGACCAGAAUGUGAAUUCAUAACUGGAGCACGCCUCCCAACGAUACGCCAAGUAUUGGCUGCGUUUUAUUAUCUGCUUCGAUCAGCAAAGCUUUCUAUUAGAACUAGUGCAAGGAAUAUCGUUGAACAAGUGUUGUGCUACUAGCGGAAAACAAAAAUACCCAUAAUCCAGGAAAUACAUUGCAUUACGAAAGUCGAAUUACUCCAUGCUGAACUAUCUGCAAUUUGUAAACAUUUAUCACGGAAAAAUAGCAAAGCGCAAAUGAAAAAGAAAGCUCUCUUCUGUAAUAAGCUUGAUAACCUUUUCGAUGUGUCUAAAAGUAUGGCGAAGGAAAGGGAUCCGAUAGUGAUGAAAGCUCUUUUGGAAGAAAUACAAUUUUUCAAGGACUAAAAAGGAACCCGAGUAAGCACCUUCGCAGGUAUCGAUGGAGUUCUGUCUGGCAGAAUCCAGAAAAAACUGAAAGCAGACCGGCGUAAGAAAGAGAAGCAAAAGCUAUUGGAGGAUCGCCGGAAAAAGAGUGAAUUUCAGUCGAAAAUCGUCAACGCCGUAAAAUUCGGCUUACCCGGUGAAGAUUUUGAGGAUACAGAUAAAGACGAGGAAUAUCAACCAUCGCAGCGCAUCUCACAGAGAAUCAGAGGAACACGAAACGUUAUGACAACUGAAUUGCUACAAGCUCUUGAUGCUGCAAAGGUCAGUGCGGAUUCUGCCACAGUAAUUUUGGCAGCAGCGAGCAAAUAAUUUGGAAUCGACUAUUCAUCGUGAGCGUGACAAACACCGAUCCGACUUAGCUCAACAUUUGAUUAACUAUUUCGAUCCAGACGAUAAUCUAACGGUUCACUGGGAUGGUGAAGUGGUAAAUUCGUUGACAGGACGAGGUCUAGUUGACCGACAAGCUGUACUUGAGACGGGCAGAAACACUACCUAGCUACUUGGCGUUCCUUUUCUUGAAAAAGGCACAAGCAAAGCCAAUGCCGAAUCUGUCGUUGAACUGUCAAAAAACUGGAACAUUUCUGAUCGUAUCAAAGCAAUGUCCUUUGAUACCACCAGUGUGAAUACAGGAAGGAAAAAUGGGGCUGCUUCUGCACCACGCAGUGACCUCAAGUUCGUGGCUGAUCUGAAAAAAUUUGAAUCUUUCCAUCCGGAAGCAUCUGCUGCUGCUCAGCGAAAAUUCCUGGGCCAUUUGUGGUAUUUGAGCGAGGAACUACUUGGCUUGGCUGUAUUUGAUACAGGUCUAUCGUUUGAGGUGCGAGAGAGUGUUGUCAAGGUUUUUUUUCUAUUACCAUUAGACAAGGUGAUGAUAAUCCAGCUAAAAAACGAAGCCUCACUGAAUUGAAUGCACCGCUGCAAGAAUUGGUUACGACCAAUACUAUGAAAUUUUUCAAAGUAUUAGGAAUUGAAACGAAUUUCUUCGAACUACCGGCAAAGAACUGGGAUUCCAAUUUUGCGUAUCAAAGGGGAGUAGAAAUUGUCAAUAGUCUCACAGUAGUAAACGAUCAUGCUGAAAGAGCUAUUAAGUUGAUGCACUGCCGCUACCCGCAUAACUAUCCCAUACUGAUUUUGGUCACUUUUGAGUUAUCAUCGGGAAUCGACUUAAUUGUUAUCAUAUUUUCUGGAAAAAAUAAAGAUUGAUACUUUUGUAUGGAAAAGCAAAAGACAACCCUGCAGAACUUUGUUGGAUCAUAAAACAAAAUGACUAUAUUGGUUUUUAUUCAAAAACAGUUUUUUUUUCGGUAAACCGACACAUGUGAUAACCGAUCUACUUGCUUCCUGGUAUCUGUAUAGCGCUUAUAGUAGCGUGCUCGCCACCGCGUGAGGGUCGCUCAUACUAUCAUAUCUUUAGGUCCGUUGGGGAACCACUUAGCGUAAUCGUAGGGACCUCAACAAGAUAUCAUUUUCUUCAGCUUGUCGAGACGAACAUUUUGAGAGGUUGAAUUCAUGAUUGCGCCCAUUUUUCUAAAAUAAGGGAUGGCCUACUGUAGAGUUAGCUUACCAAAUCUAGACAAAAUUUCACCGCACCUUCGUGAGCCCUAGUAAAUGGAGAUAGACUUUUCUGCAGGCUCUUUUCUCUAUAGGUACAUUCAUGAAUUCAUUGUCGUGUUGCUAACGAGAAGCUUGGUUUUGUCAAAUUUAAUUAGCUCAAAUUUGCUGGGGACAUCUCCUCUGUUAGUUACCUUGCAGAAUUUCAAGCUUUCGUACAUCCUUCGUACUUUUUCAAAAUCUUGCAUGAGUGGUAUAUUUCGAGGAUUGGCCUUAUUGCUCUUAAUACCUUCAACCUCAGCUUCCGAUUGUAAGUUCCACUACGACGCGUCCUCUGAUACAUUCGAACAACAUUUCAGCCAUCAUACAGUUCAGUCUUAAAUCCAAAUAUCGGAUCAAAGAGAAAUUUUUAACGCCAAAAGAUACAAGUUUUCUAAAUAAUCCGCUCUCAAAAGAUUUGUGAUACGCCCACCCUACCUGAAUUCGAUCAACACUCGAGAACAUUUCUCACAUAAAAAAAGAAACAUAAAUGCGUACUCGUUAUAUUUGUAUUUCUCCGUGACUUCCAGUUUUUAGUUUUACAUUUACAGCUAAUAUAGAUUUUGAAUUAUUCACAUUGAUUGCAGAGACAAAAAUAGUUCUUUCUGAAAUUUUCCUUACUUUUUUUUUGGUUUGUUUUCGUUACAAAUAUUUUCAUGGGCGUGUAUGUGUGUGUGAAAUAUCUAUACAAGUACUGGUACAGACACUGUUGUUGGUUGUUGGUGGGCAAAUCAGCUCUCGUACCACUCUCGUCGUGUAUUGCAACCGUAUCGCAACGAAUCCGGGUUCGGCCUGUGAACCGCGAAGUUCGUCGAUUGGGACUAGAAUAGAUCUAAUCGUCAUUUGCACGCGUUUGGCUAGCGUUCGAUUGAAUUUAAUAAAUAGGGUUUAGAAUAAAUAAAUUGAUAAAUAAAUUCUAAUCUGGUGUAGUAUGCUGUCCGAAAUAAAUUACUAAACAUAUAAAUAAAACCAACGAAUGCAGAAAAAAUAAAUAAAUAAUUAGGUGAGACACAGUUAAAAGUACAAUCCAUUAAUCACAGAUGCUUCUUAUUGGAGU